CUGCUGCCUUCCGUAGGAGUCUGGGCCGUGUCUCAGUCCCAGUGUGGCUGGUCGUCCUCUCAGACCAGCUACUGAUCGUUGCUUUGGUGAGCCGUUACCUCACCAACCGGCUAAUCAGUCAUCGGCCGCUCCGCUCGCGAGAGGCCCUUGCGGGUCCCCCUCUUUCUUCCGUAGAACUCAUGCGGUAUUAGCCAACCUUUCGGCUGGUUGUCCCCCCACGAGCGGACACGUUCCGAUGUAUUACUCACCCGUUCGCCA
rnacentral:rRNA from 1 species